CUGACACAGAGGUGGCCAAGGAAGAGCUGUUGCAGAGGGCUAUAGUUAGCCCAAGAUAAGGGUCUCACUGUGUAACAGUCCUGGCUUCCUGGACCUUACUUUGUCCAGACCUUACCAGGCUGGAUUCAAACUCACAGAGAUGAUCUGCUGCCGCCACCUUCUGAGCUCUGGGAUUCAAGGCGAAUGCCACCACAUUCAGCACCGCUGAGACUUAUGUGUAUGCUUCAAUUUAAUAUUCUUUCCUCCAAAUUCAUUUUGAAUUUUUCUUCCAAAUUAUCACGUGAGACCCUCCUUAAAGCUUUCUACUUACACAUCUCACCUAUCAGUUCAAAAUGCUAACAACUGGGAGGUGAAAGGGCCACUGAGAUUUAAACCCAAGGCCCUCUCCUUACUAACAAGCAUGUGCUAUGCUAUUCUGAGAGACGGCUGCACUUCCAGACUUGCUGCCAAUGAACCUACGCUGCUGUGCUCCUCCACUCAUUUCAUUUUGAUCUGAACAGCUACUAUGAUUUUGACAAGAGCCAUUGGUUAAUAAAAUGAAAAUAUAGAUUCUAUGUUCAUCGCUGUA